rnacentral:rRNA from 1 species
CCAACGGGUCUCCCAGUCCGGGCGGAAAUCGGCCGGAGAGGGUAAGGGCAAAAGGGGGCUUGAUGGCAAGACAGACAGGUCGAGCAAGGAGGAAAGUCGGACUUGGGGAUCCGGUGGUUGUGCGUGGAAGGGCCAUCGCUCAACGGAUAAAAGCUACCCUGGGGAUAACAGGCUUAUCGCCCCCAAGAGUCCACAUCGACGGGGAGGUUUGGCACCUCGAUGUCGGCUCAUCACAUCCUGGGGCUGUAGUAGGUCCCAAGGGUUGGGCUGUUCGCCCAUUAAAGUGGUACGCGAGCUGGGUUCAGAACGUCGUGAGACA